GCGGCCGCUUUCCGCCUCGGACUCGAGCGCGUCGAAGACAGCAGCGCCCACCAGCAGAUGCAGAGAACCCAAAGCCCUGCAGGAUGGCAAAGCUGCAACAUGGAAGUCACCCGGAUCACCACGUAAAGGAAAUCUCUCCAACCAGGAACAAACACCUGCCUUGCAAUAUUAGGUCCUUCCUAGGGCUUGGUGCAUGUGCAUAUCUCCUUCCGGAAUCCUGGUCAAUACUAAGGUGUCUGCCUCCUGCCCCGGUCCACAGCCAGGAGCCCCGGAGCCAACGGCCAGCCUGGAAGACUUACAGUUCUCCCUCUGAGGGUUGCUGUGGCUUUCCAUGUUGUGGUGACUAAGUCCCUGUGUUUCUGUGCAGUCCCUGCUUCCUGGGACCAGGGAAGAAUGGUCCCGUGGCCACCAGACUUUCUCUGCUUGUAUCCUCCCAGGACCACAGAACUCAUCGCAUCCCAAGGCAGCCUAUUCCAUCAUGGAUGAGCUCAAAGUGUUUGAAAGUUCUGCUUUAUCAAGUGAGCCAAACUUCCUCCCUCAGGACCAUCCACUCCAGGGCCCAGUUAUUCUACUGGAGGAGUGAGGGUAAAGCCAUCACCAGGACAACCUUGGUGACAGGCUGGACUGGCAGCCAGCUUUUGGGGAUGACUUCAGGGAACCCUGAAUAGCCAUGGGAGCCAAAUGUAUUACUCCUCUGAUGCCUACAAUUCCACUAUAAUAGUCUGGUGGGCUUCUGUUAGGGAGGCUUAUACAUGGUGGAAAGAAUAAAGGCUUGGACUCAGCCUAGGUUCAAGUACUGCAUCUUGACCUGGCCUGUAGGCAAGUCUUUUCACUUCUCUGAGUUUUGGCUUUCUCAUUUGUCCAAUAGGAAUAACAAUAAUGAUAAUAAUAAUACCUCCCAUGCAGGAUUGCUAGUAUGUUCAAUGGGAUAAUAUAUCUAAACACCUCACACAAUGCCUGGCACAUAGCAGGUGUUCAAUUAGGUCUGUAUUAAAAUCCAGGCUCUGUCUCUUAUUA
rnacentral:lncRNA from 1 species